rnacentral:ncRNA from 1 species
UUUCACAGGAGUCCUUCGUUGGAAAGCCAUUUUAUCGUCGAUACGAAGGUAAGCUGACGCGAUUUUCUCGCUGCUUACCUUAACGGUGGGCAGCAAUCCUC